rnacentral:rRNA from 1 species
CCUACGGGUGGCAGCAGUAGGGAAUCUUCCACAAUGGGCGAAAGCCUGAUGGAGCAACGCCGCGUGGGUGCAGAAGGUCUUCGGAUCGUAAAACCCUGUUGUUAGAGAAGAAAGUUCGUGCGAGUAACUGUUCACGUUUCGACGGUAUCUAACCAGACAGCCACGGCUAACUACGUGCCAGCAGCCGCGGUAAUACGUAGGUGGCAAGCGUUAUCCGGAUUUAUUGGGCGUAAAGGGAACGCAGGCGGUCUUUUAAGUCUGAUGUUAAAGCCUUCGGCUUAACCGGAGUAGUGCAUUGGAAACUGGGAGACGGAGGGGCAGAAGAGGGGAGUGGAACUCCAUGUGUAGCGGGGAAAUGCGUAGAUAUAUGGAAGAACACCAGUGGCGAAAGCGGCUCUCUGGUCGGUAACUGACGCUGAGGUUCGAAAGCGUGGGUAGCAAACAGGAUUAGAUACCCAGUAGUC